rnacentral:rRNA from 1 species
CCUACGGGAGGCAGCAGUAGGGAAUCUUCGGCAAUGGACGAAAGUCUGACCGAGCAACGCCGCGUGAGUGAUGAAGGUUUUCGGAUCGUAAAACUCUGUUGUUAGAGAAGAACAAGUACCGUUUGAAUAAGGCGGUACCUUGACGGUACCUAACGAGAAAGCCCCGGCUAACUACGUGCCAGCAGCCGCGGUAAUACGUAGGGGGCAAGCGUUGUCCGGAAUUAUUGGGCGUAAAGCGCGCGCAGGCGGUCUCUUAAGUCUGAUGUGAAAGCCCACGGCUCAACCGUGGAGGGCCAUUGGAAACUGGGAGACUUGAGUGUAGGAGAGGAAAGUGGAAUUCCACGUGUAGCGGUGAAAUGCGUAGAGAUGUGGAGGAACACCAGUGGCGAAGGCGACUUUCUGGCCUAUAACUGACGCUGAGGCGCGAAAGCGUGGGGAG